GCCAGCAUGGUGUAGUGGCUUGAGCACUGGACUAUGACUCUAGAGACCAGGGUUUAAAUCCCCUGCUUGGCC
rnacentral:tRNA from 1 species